UACGGGGGGGGCAAGCGUUGUUCGGAAUUACUGGGCGUAAAGGGCUCGUAGGCGGCCAACUAAGUCGGAUGUGAAAUCCCCAAGCUUAACUUGGGAACUGCAUCCGAUACUGGAUGGCUUGAAUCCGGGAGAGGGAUGCAGAAUUCCAGGUGUAGCGGUGAAAUUCGUAGAUAUCGGGAGGAACACCAGUGGCGAAGGCGGCGAUCUGGACAGAUGUUGACGCUGAUGUGCGAAAGCGUGGGGAGCAAACAGG
rnacentral:rRNA from 1 species